rnacentral:rRNA from 1 species
AUGUCUUUGUGCCCCAUGAGCCCCAGCGUCAGGCCUGUGAUUGCGGAGAUGGAGAUGAACGCCGGCACCGACCAGGAUGCCACUACCGUGCGGGCCACUGUUGUGCAGGCCUGUGGGAUGUUCCAUGACACCCCUGCAACGUUCGAGCACACCGCGGUUUGCCCUGGAGGGAGUUCCAUCAUCUCGCCAUCUGGGGCAGUGUUGGCAGGCCCCAACUAUGAGGGCAAGGCCCUCCUCGCAGCUGACCUGGACAUUGGUGAAAUUGUUCGGGCGAAGUUUGAUAAGAUCCGAGGCGCACGACUGACGAUGUUUUGA